rnacentral:rRNA from 1 species
UACGUAGGUGGCAAGCGUUGUCCGGAAUUACUGGGCGUAAAGGGCGCGUAGGCGGUCUUCUAAGUCUUGUGUGAAAUCCCUCGGCUCAACUGAGGAACUGCACGGGAUACUGGAAGACUUGAGUUCGGGAGAGGGAAGCGGAAUUCCGGGUGUAGCGGUGAAAUGCGUAGAUAUCCGGAGGAACACCGGUGGCGAAGGCGGCUUCCUGGACCGAUCACUGACGCUGAGGCGCGAAAGCUAGGGGAGCAAACGGG